GGAGCCUCAGCUUGUGUCACUGGAAGGCUCCCAUCCUGACCUGGAGGCCCAUGAGAGGUCAGCUUGUUCAGUCCCCUGCCUCAGAGCAGAGCUCAGGCCACUGCUCUGCUUUGUGGCUCCAGAGUGGGUGUGGGGCCUGACUCACCAGGCCCCAGGGAGGCCAGACCACACACCCUCAGGGCCAGGGAGCAGAGAGAAGGGAAGGCAGCCUUAGCCAGGCCCCUGACCAGAAGGGGGCUGCAGGGGCUGCCGCCCGAGGGGCCUGUCCACUCUAGCCGGUGAGGCCAUUUGCCAGGAGGGAAGCCACUACCUCAGGUCCCUUACUGAGAUGUGUAGGUAGGCAACAUCUUUGGAGAUGCUUGAAGAGAUGCUUUCGGAGCAAGAGCUCUGCAGGUUAAGGAUUAGGGGCAGAGGGGGUCCCCGGCUUGUACUUCUCCAGCUCCAGAAGCAGCCACCUCUCCUCUCAUUGUCUCAGCAAGGGUCAAAGAGAGGAGGAAAUUGAGAUUCGAUUUCUCCCACCACAACUGUGCCCUCAGGAGACUGGGACCUUCCCGGGCCAGUUGCUUUGUCUCCUCAUCAGACUCAGGGACUUUAGGAACAGAAGCCAGCUUUCCUUCUAAGACACAGUCAGGGUCUCUGCCUCUUCUGUUCUCCACAUCCCCUGACAGUCCCUGAGCCAUUUUCCUCAGGUGACAUCAGGCCUGGGCCUCUGAUGUCCAGAAGGUCUCUGCUUCUGUCACAUGGGCUGCCAGUUCUGGUCACAGGGAGGUGGGGCUAAGGAGGGAGUGAUGAAAGGGGAGGAAGGCAGGUCUGGGGCAUAAUUUGGGGAGCCCAGCACAAAGUGGAAAUUUAGGGCCCCUUGUUCAAAUUUUUUUGGGGGGGGUAAAUAUAAAAAAGAUACCUUUAUUGCUUUAGCAGGCUAAUACCUUAAAGAUCGUGCCCCUAAACUUUUUAAUUACAGGAUGGCCCCUGAAGUAUGAAACCAAGCCCAGGGUCUUUCUAAGCACGGGGCCUUGGCUAACUGCAUGGGUCACGUGUCCAUAAAGCCAGCCCUGCAGGAGGGGCUGGUUCCUCAAGUGGGGGCACUUCAUGGAGAGAGGGGAAGAGGCUGGCACACAGACCCAAGGGCCGGGGAGGAUCUAGGCUCCUGGACUGUUGCAAAGAGGGAAAGAUGAGGCUUGAGUAGGUAGGUUGGUACCAGAUCCAGAAGGUUCCUGACCACUCAAAUUGGAACUUGAUCCUGGAGGUAAACACUAAAGUUUCUGAGCCCCAGGGAACCAGGAGGCUUCCAUGGGCCAAGCUGGAACAGGAGUGGGUCCAUAGAAAUCAAUUCCUCUCUAGAUGAUUGACAGAAGAGGAAACUAAAGCCCAGAGAGGGACAGAGACUUGCCCAAGGUCACCCAGACAGGGGUACAGAGCCAGGCUAAGCUCUAGCUGCCUGGACCUUGUCUCGGGUUCUGUGGGGAAUAAACUGAGAACUGAUGUGUGGGGUGGGAGGGCAGAUUGUGCUGGGCCUCCCAGGUUCGGUCCACCUAAAGGGCAGGACCUACCUUCCCCAGAACCCUCAGUCAGGACUGUUCUGGGUGUCCCUUUCCUCUGGCCCUGCCGCUGUGUCUCUUGUGUUCCCCAUUCCUUGUCCAUCCUCAUACUUUUCUAUUACCUGCCAUGUUGGCCCCACAAAGCUGUGCCUCACCACGCCCCCUACCCCUACCCUCCUGGCCAGGCGAUGGCCCACAAGGGAACGGGUGCCCAGAGCAGGGGUCCCUGCCACAGGAAGGAAGCUAUGGCCCAGGAACUUCCUCUGAGCCCUGACCCAGGAGCAGCUACUCCCCCCACCCCAACUUUCUGCAUCCUGCCCCUCCCCCCAUUCAACUUGGUGCUCUGCCCCCCAUACUCCUUUCUGUGCUCCAGGACCCCCCCACCCUAAGACCCACCCAAGGCAUUUGGAAACUUCCCUGAGGCUUCAGUGCCCCCAGAAGCCCCCAAUCCGUUACUUCUCCAUAUUCUUUGCCAAAAAGGAGAGCUUCCAAAGCCACCUUGCAAAUAUAUGCAAAUGAGAUGCAAACAGGCUAGGGGUCGAAUCAGAGCUGCCCUACACCACAGCCACAGCAAUGCUGGACCUGAGCCACAGUCUGCGACCUACAACACAGCUCCCAGCAACCCUGGAUCCCUAACCUGCUGAGCAACGCCAGGGAUCGACGUCCUCAUGGAUACUAGUGGGGUUCAUUACCGCUGAGCCAGGACAGGAACUCCCAGGGAUUCACCCUUUGAAAAUCAGUCUCUUGGGUGGUUGCUUCCCUCCUUCCUGCUCUGCCAGAUUCACCUAAAUUUGUAAGUGUUAGUGACUGUGAGAAAGUCAGAGCAGAAACGCAGCCCAAGGAUAGGGCGGAGACCAGGGCCUCUGUGCCCGGGUGAAGGGGCGGGGCCUGGGCUGCCCUUCCCUCUGCCCCGGGAGGCCUGCAGCAAAGGGUGUGUGGUGUGCUGGGAGUUGAAACAUUGUACUUAGCUAAGAAGUUUCCUGGGCUUUCUGGAGGGGGGGCCCGGCCGGGGGUGUCAUUGUCAACGGUGGGGAAGGGCAAGACUCUGAGGGGCGGUGGCCUAGGGAGGGGGCUGGGGCAGAGAGCAGCAGGGCGAGGCUGCCAGGGUGCCAGGGUGCCAGGGUGAGCUGGGGGGAAAGGCCUGAAGCCCCCAGGGGAAACCUUCCCAGGCCUGGAAGCGCCUGUUGGGGCCACGCCCAGUGCAGCCCUCACUCAGUGCCACCGCUGCCCUGGGAGCUCAUGUGGGAGGCACCUGGCCAGCAACGUACUUGACCUCCGGGGCCCUUGGUUUCCUUAUUGGAAAACACAGGCGAUGGUGUGAGGAAACCACUGUGCAAUGCUGAUUCUAAGCAGUCCAGGUCCGGUAAGAUGAUUUACAACCCUUAUGUAGAAAGAAGGAAGGUGAUAGGUCUUUCUAGAAGUCUCUGCGAGAAGCUUCACACCGUGUCUUCAAGGGACGAGCCCUAUUUUAGGAGGGACUUGGAAAUCCUUGUCCAAAGUUCUUGAGUCUCCCUGUGGAGUCUCCUGGGGUCACAUGCUUGGGACGCAGAAGACAAGGAGGACCUUUGCUGGGAAGGGUCCCACGCAGGGGAGGCCCUAUGGGAUUAAGAGUGCAAGUAUCACUGUAGGUGAGAGAAAGUUAAAUGGAAGAAGGAAAGAUGCAGUCGGUAACUGGUCUGAAGAGCUGAACUGGGGGUUCAGACCGCUAUGGGAAGAGCAACCGAUGCUAAGUUCUUUAAAAUCGUGUUUGGCAGGAGUUCCCUUCGUGGCUCAGAGGUAACGAAUCUGACUAGGAUCCAUAAGGAUGCAGGUUCAGUCCCUGCCCUCACUCAGUGGGUUAAGGAUCUGGUGCUGCCGUGAGCUAUGGUGUAGGUCAUAGACGCGGCUCGGGUCCCGAGUUGCUGUGGCUGUGGUGUAGGCCAGCAACUGUAGCUCCGAUUUAGCCUCUAGCCUGGGAGCCUCCAUAU
ensembl:lncRNA